rnacentral:rRNA from 1 species
UGGGGAAUUUUGGACAAUGGGCGAAAGCCUGAUCCAGCAAUGCCGCGUGUGUGAAGAAGGCCUUCGGGUUGUAAAGCACUUUUGUCCGGAAAGAAAUCCUUGGCUCUAAUACAGUCGGGGGAUGACGGUACCGGAAGAAUAAGCACCGGCUAACUACGUGCCAGCAGCCGCGGUAAUACGUAGGGUGCAAGCGUUAAUCGGAAUUACUGGGCGUAAAGCGUGCGCAGGCGGUUUGCUAAGACCGAUGUGAAAUCCCCGGGCUCAACCUGGGAACUGCAUUGGUGACUGGCAGGCUAGAGUAUGGCAGAGGGGGGUAGAAUUCCACGUGUAGCAGUGAAAUGCGUAGAGAUGUGGAGGAAUACCGAUGGCGAAGGCAGCCCCCUGGGGCCAAUACUGACGCUCAUGCACGAAAGCGUGGGGAGCAAACAGGAUUAGAUACCCUGGUAGUCCACGCCCUAAACGAUGUCAACUAGUUGUUGGGGAUUCAUUUCCUAGUAACGUAGCUAACGCGUGAAGUUGACCGCCUGGGGAGUACGGUCGCAAGAUUAAAACUCAAAGGAAUUGACGGGGUCAUAGCUGUUU